rnacentral:rRNA from 1 species
AAUCCUCCACAAUGGGCGAAAGCCUGAUGGAGCAACGCCGCGUGAGUGCAGAAGGUAUGCUGAUCGUAAAACUCGGUUUUAAGGGAAGAACAAGUCCACAAGUCACUGGCUGUACCUUGACGGUACCCUUUUCGAAAGCCACGGCUAACUCCGUGCCAGAAGCCGCGGUAAUACGUAGGUGGCAAGCGUUGUCCGGAAUUAUUGGGCGUAAAGCGCGAGCAGGCGGUCCUUUAAGUCUGAUGUGAAAGGCCACGGCUCAACCGUGGAGGGUCAUUGGAAACUGGGGGACUUGAGUGCAGAAGAGGAAAGUGGAAUUCCAAGUGUAGCGGUGAAAUGCGUAGAGAUUUGGAGGAACACCAGUGGCGAAGGCGACUUUCUGGUCUGUAACUGACGCUGAGGCGCGAAAGCGUGGGGAGCAAACAGG